UACAGAGAGUGCGAACGUUGUUCGGAAUUACUGGGCUUAAAGCGCACGUAGGCUGUGCUGCAAGUGUCAGGUGAAAUCCCACGGCUCACCCGUGGAACUGCCUGGCAGACUGCAGUGCUGGAGUGUGGUAGGGGAGAGCGGAACUCCUGGUGGAGCGGUGAAAUGCGUAGAUAUCAGGAGGAACACCGGUGGCGAAGGCGGCUCUCUGGUCCACAACUGACGCUGAGGUGCGAAAGCUAGGGGAGCAAACGGG
rnacentral:rRNA from 1 species